GAAGAGCACAGGCCUUGCUCCCCGCCCGGGAAGGUGCCUCCGGCUCUGGGAAAUCUCCCUGGCAGGGGCAGCUCCCCACUCCGUGCCCUCUGUCCCCUGGGCGACUGCGCCUCCUGGGGCUCGGCGCCGUCCCACACCCCAGCCCGGUUCUCAAAGCUUCUUUGUUCCGCCGGGCCUAGCCGCGGCCGGCCCGGACCUGAUAAGGCCUGGUUGGGCAGAUAGCGGCCCAGCCCUGCUCACCUGCCAAGCCACACCCGGCCGCCUCGCACGCACGCCUCAUCCACCCAGCUGGUCACAGACCCAGGGACUCUUCCCCCUACGGAGCGGCAAGGUUUGACGCCGCGGCUGGCCUGCCCUGCAGCCCAGUUAAGCCUCCUCAACCACAUGGGGAAGCAGGAGAAGGGAAUUGUUAUCCCUAUUUCACAGAUGAAGAAACUGAGGCCCAGAGAGGCGACGUUGCUUUCCCAAGGUACACAGUAGCAGAGUCCAGGCCAGAACCCAGGUCUCCUGCAGCAGCAAACUGAGGAAUGGGGGAACUGUUCUCUUGGGAGAAACCAGACCACCCUGGGACUGCUGUGCUGGAGAGGCUAUAGAUAGGUGUCCCAUCCACAGCUGAGCUGAGCUCCCAGCCUGAAGCCAGCAUCAGCUGUCAGCCACAUGAGCGCGCCAUCUUGGAUGUCCCGCCCAGUGGAGCCUUCAGAUGGCUGCAGCCCUGGCCAGCAUCUGACUACAGUGGCAUGAGAGACCCCAAGGGAAAAUUGCGUGGCCAAACCUUCCAGGAUUCCUGACCCCAAAAUUGUGUGAAGAGCCUUGUGGUUCUGGAAGGAAAAAAGCUCAUGGAUCUGGGCUAGUGGUAGCAAGGAAUUACACAUGGCCAAGUGGAAAGAAAUGCUAUUAAAGGUUUUAAAAACCCAAAUUUUAAAUGUUGAAGAAAGUGCUCAGAGUUUGGGGCUGCCUGGAAAGGGGCUGGACACUCCUGUGGACAGUUUCUGGUGACAUUUGCCUGGAGUGCCUCUGCAAGCAGGAGCUUGCAGGGCCUUGGUGAAAAGGUCCAUGAAAAUGAACCAGAAAGCACCUUGUUGCCCUAAUGAACUCUGGGCGUGUCUGCAUCUGGCUUCUGCACAUACCUCUAAGUGCCCAACUAGGA